UUCACGCGUAUUCCUAUUUAAUUGCAGAAUGCUCAUGCUCAAAAUAGCAAUGCAACCAAGCCAUGUGGUCAUCACCAAGUCACUAAGCAGGUACAUAUAGGCUACAUAUCCAAAUGACAAUGAUUGUAUAAUAGAUAGUUGGUCUAAUUAUUUGUGAAAUUGUUCUAAUUUGUUUAAAAUGAAAUCUUCUCAGGUUCAUCAAUAACAAAUGUUUCAUUUCUUGAAAAAUAGGAUAAAGUUGAAGUCGUGUUGUAUUCAAUGAACUUGAGAAACAAAGACAAACUCGUGGCCAAAGGAACUUUAGUGAGUAAAGAGAAAACAUAUGUGGUUGGAGGAAACAUGCUUGGAGUGGAAUAUGUUUCAGUUGUGGUUCGUGGUUGUACAUAUCUUGGAGAUGAGAAACUAGUUAGACCAUAUGAAAAAUUCCAAACAGUAAGGGAUGAAAGAAAUAUGCUCUAGAGGCAAUAAUAAAGUUAUUAUUUAUUUCCUUAUUUCAUGAUAAAUGUUUAUUAUUCAUGCUAGAAUUGUAUUAACCGGAAACAUAAUACAUGUGUGAAUACAUAGACAAACAGAGUGUCACUAGUAUGCCUCUACUUGACUAGCUCGUUAAUCAAAGAUGAUUAUGUUUCCUAAUCAUAGACAAAGAGUUGUUAUUUGAUUAACGGGAUCACAUCAUUAGGAAAAUGAUGUGAUUGACUUGACCCAUUCCGUUAGCUUAGCACUCGAUCGUUUAGUAUGUUGCUAUUGCUUUCUUCAUGACUUAUAGAUGUUCCUAUAACUAUGAGAUUAUGCAACUCCCAUUUACCGGAGGAACAUUUUGUGUGCUACCAAACGUCACAACGUAACUGGGUGAUUAUAAAGGAGCUCUACAGGUGUCUCCAAAGGUACAUGUUGGGUUGGCGUAUUUCGAGAUUAGGAUUUGUCACUCUGAUUGUCGGAGAGGUAUCUCUGGGCCCCUCUCGGUAAUGCACAUCACUUACGCCUUGCAAGCAUUGCAACUACUGAGUUAGUUGCGAGAUGAUGUAUUACGGAAUGAGUAAAGGGACUUGCCGGUAACAAGAUUGAACUAGGUAUUGAGAUACCGACGAUCGAAUCUCGGGCAAGUAACAUACCGAUGACAAAGGGAACAACGUAUGUUAUUAUGCGGUCUGACCAAUAAAGAUCUUCGUAGAAUAUGUAGGAGCCAAUAUGAGCAUCCAGGUUCCGCUAUUGGUUAUUGACUGAAGACGUGUCUCGGUCAUGUCUACAUUGUUCUCGAACCCGUAGGGUCCACACGCUUAAGGUUUCGAUGAUAGUUAUAUUAUGAGUUUAUGAGUUUUGAUGUACCGAAGGAGUUCGGAGUCCCGGAUGAGAUCGGGGACAUGACGAGGAGUCUCGAAAUGGUCGAGAUGUAAAGAUCGAUAUAUUGGACGACUAUAUUCGGACAUCGGAAAGGUUCCGAGUGGUUCGGGUAUUUUUCGGAGUACCAGGGAGUUACGGGAAUACGGGAGAAGAAAUAUAUGGGCCUUAUUGGGCUUUAGGGGAGAGGGAGAGGCAGGCCGCGCGCCCCCCCAUUGACUAGUCCGAAUUGGACUAGGGGGAGGGGCGGCGCCCCCUCCUUCCUUCUCUUCCCUCUUCCCCUUCCUUGUCUCCUACUCCUACUACUUGGAAGGACUCCUAGUUGGACUAGGAAAGGGGGAAUCCUACUCCCGGUGGGAGUAGGACUCCCCUAGGGCGCGCCAUAGAGAGGGCCGGCCCUCCCCUCCUCCACUCCUUUAUAUACGGGGGCAGGGGGCACCCCAUAGACACACAAGUUGAUCCUCAUGAUCGUUUUCUUAGCCGUGUGCGGUGCCCCCUUCCACCAUACUCCUCGAUAAUAUUGUAGCGGUGCUUAGGCGAAGCCCUACGACGGUAGAACAUCAAGAUCGUCACCAUGCUGUCGUGCUGACGGAACUCUUCCCCGACACUUUGCUGGAUCGGAGUCCGCGGAUCGUCAUCGAGCUGAACGUGUGCUAAAACUCGGAGGUGCCGUAGUUUCGGUGCUUGAUCGGUCGGGCCGUGAAGACGUACGACUACAUCAACCGCGUUGUCAUAACGCUUCCGCUUCCGGUCUACGAGGGUACGUAGACAACACUCUUCCCUCUCGUUGCUAUGCAUCACUAUGAUCUUGCGUGUGCGUAGGAUUUUUUUUGAAAUUACUACGUUCCCCAACAGUGACAUCCGAGCCUAGGUUUUAUGCGUUGAUGUUAUUUGCACGAGUAGAACACAAGUGAGUUCGGCGAUAUAAGUCAUACUGCUUACCAGCAUUGUCAUACUUUGGUUCGGCGGUAUUGUUGGAUGAAGCGGCCCGGACCGACAUUACGCGUACGCUUACGCGAGACUGGUUCUACCGACAUGCUUUGCACACAGGUGGCUGGCGGGUGUCAGUUUCUUCAACUUCAGUUGAACCGAGUGUGGCUACGCCCGGUCCUUGUGAAGGUUAAAACAGCACCAACUUGACAAACUAUCGUUGUGGUUUUGAUGCGUAGGUAAGAUUGGUUCUUGCUAAGCCCGUAGCAGCCACGUAAAACUUGCAACAAUAAAGUAGAGGACGUCUAACUUGUUUUUGCAGGGCAUGUUGUGAUGUGAUAUGGUCAAGACGUGAUGAGAUAUAAGUUGUUGUAUGAGAUGAUCAUGUUUUGUUGAAGCUAUCGGCAACUGGCAAAAUCCUUAUGGUUGUCUCUCUAUUGCAUAAGAUGCAAGCGCCAAAUAAUUGCUUUACUUUAUCGCUAUGCGAUAGCAAUAGUUGCAAGAGUAAUUGUUGGCAAGACGACAAUGCAACGACACAUUGAUAUAGAUCAAGAUGAUGGAGAUCAUGGUGUCAUGCCGGUGACGAUAGAGAUCAUGACAGUACUUUGGAGAUGGAGAUCAAAGGCGCAAGAUGAUCAUGGCCAUAUCAUGUCACAUAUUUUGAUUGCAUAUGAUGUUUAUCAUUUAUACAUCUUAUUUUGCUUAGUUCGACAGUAGCUUUAUAAGAUGAUCUCUCACUAAAUUUCAAGGUAUAAGUGUUCUCCCUGAGUAUGUACCGUUGCGAAAGUUCUUCGUGCUGAGACACCACGUGAUGAUCGGGUGUGAUAGGAUCUACGUUCAAAUACAACGGGUGCAAAACAGUUGCACACGCGGAAUACUCAGGUUAUACUUGACGAGCCAAGCAUAUACAGAUAUGGCCUUGGAACACGGAGACCGAAAGGUCGAGCGUGAAUCAUAUAGUAGAUAUGAUCAACAUAGUGAUGUUCACCGUUGAAACUACUCCAUCUCACGUGAUGAUCGGACAUGGUUUAGUUGAUAUGGAUCACGUAAUCACUUAGAGGAUUAGAGGGAUGUCUAUCUAAGUGGGAGUUCUUAAGUAAUAUGAUUAAUUGAACUUAAAUUUAUCAUGAACUUAGUCCUGGUAGUAUUAGCAUAUUUAUGUUGUAAAUCAAUAGCUCGCGUUGUUGCUUUCAUAUGUUUAUUUUGAUAUGUUCCUAGAGAAAAUUGUGUUGAAAGAUGUUAGUAGCAAUUAUGCGGAUUGGAUCCGUGAUCUGAGGUUUAUCCUCAUUGCUGCACAGAAGAAUUAUGUCCUUGAUGCACCGCUAGAUGACAGACCUAUUGCAGGAGCAGAUGCAGACGUUAUGAAUGUUUGGCUAGCUUAAUAUGAUGACUACUUGAUAGUUUAGUGCACCAUGCUUAACGGCUUAGAAUCGGGAAUUCAAAGACGUUUUGAACGUCAUGGACCAUAUGAGAUGUUCCAGGAGUUGAAUUUAAUAUUUCAAGCAAAUACCCGAGUUGAGAGAUAUGAAGUCUCCAACAAGUUCUAUAGCUAAAAGAUGGAGGAGAAUCGCUCAACUAGUGAGCAUGUGCUUAGAUUGUCUGGGUACUACAAUCGCUUGAAUCAAGUGGGAGUUAAUCUUCCAGAUAAGAUAGUGAUUGACAGAAUUCUCUAGUCACCAUCACCAAGUUAGUAGAACUUCGUGAUGAACUAUAGUAUGCAAGGGAUGACGAAAACGACUCCCGAGUUUUUCAUGAUGAUGAAAUCGAUGAAGGUAGAAAUCAAGAAAGAGCAUCAAGUGUUGAUGGUUGACAAGAUCACUAGUUUCAAGAAAAGGGCAAAGGGAAAAAGGGGAACUUCAAGAAGAACAACAAGCAACUUUCUGCUCAAGUGAAGAAGCCCAAGUCUGGUCCUAAGCCUGAGACUAAGUGCUUCUACUGCAAAGGGACUGGUCACUGGAAGCGGAACUACCCAAGUAUUUGGCGGAUAAGAAAGGAUGGCAAAGUAAACAAAGGUAAAUUUGAUAUACAUGUUAUUGAUGUGUACUUUACUAGUGUUCAUAGCAACCCCUCAGUAUUUGGUACUAGUUCAGUUGCUAAGAUUAGUAACUUGAAUCGGGGGUUGCAGAAUGAACAGAGACUAGUUAAGGGUAAGGUGACGAUGUGUGUUUGAAGUAGUUCCAAGAUUGAUAUGAUCAUCAUCGCACACUCCCUAUACUUUCGGGAUUAGUGUUGAACCUAAAUAAGUGUUAUUUGGUGUUUGCGUUGAGCAUAAAUAUGAUUUUAUCAUGUUUAUUGGAAUACGGUUAUUCAUUUAAGUAAGAGAAUAAAUUGUUGUUCUGUUUACAUGAAUAAAACCUUAUAUGGUUACACACCCAAUGAAAAUGGUUCGUUGGAUCUCGAUCUAGUGAUACACAUAUUCAUAAUAUUGAAACCAAAAGAUGCAAAGUUAAUAAUGAUAGUGCAACUUAUUUGUGGCACCGCCGUUUAGGUCAUAUUGGUGUAAAGCGCAUGAAGAAACUCCAUGCUGAUGGGUUUUUGGAAUCACUUGAUGCUUGCGAACCAUGCCUCAUGGGCAAGAUGACUAAAAUGCCGUUCUCCGGAACAAUGGAGCAAGCAACUGACUUAUUGGAAAUAAAACAUACUGAUGUAUGCGAUCCGAUGAGUGUUGAGGCUCACGGCAGGUAUCAUUAUUUUCUGAUCUUCACAGAUGAUCUAAGCAGAUAUGAGUAUAUCUACUUGAUGAAACACAGUCUGAAACAUAUGAAAAGUUCAAAGAAUUUCAGAGUGAAGUGGAGAAUGAUCGUAACAAAAAUAAAAGGUUUCUACGAUAUGAUCGCAGAAGUAAAAUAUUUGAGUUACGAGUUUGGCCUUCAGUUAAAAACAAUGUGAAAUAGUUUCACUACUCACGCCACCUGGAACACCACAGUGUAAUGGUGUGUCCGAACGUCAUAACCGUACAUUAUUGGAUAUAGUGCAAUCUAUGAUGUUUCUUACUGAUUUACCACUAUAGUUUUGGGGUUAUGCAUUAGAGAUAGCUGCAUUCACGUUAAAAAAGGGCACCAUCUAAAUCCGUUGAGACGGCACCGUAUGAACUGUGUUUUGGCAAGAAACCGAAGUUGUCGUUUCUUAAAGUUCGGGGUUGCAAUGCUUAUAUGAAAAAGUUUCAUCCUGAUAAGCUCAAACCCAAAUCGGAGAAGUGUGUCUUCAUAUGAUACCCAAAAUAAAAUGUUGGGUACACCUUCUAUCACAGAUCCGAAGGCAAGAUAUUCGUUGCUGAGAAUGGAUCCUUUCCAGAGAAGGAGUUUCUCUCGAAAGAAGUGAGUGGGAGGAAAGUAGAACUUAAUGAGGUAACUGUACCUGCUCCCUUAUUGGAAAGUAGUUCAUCACAGAAAUCUGUUCCUGUGACUACUACACCAAUUAGUGAGGAAGUUAAUGAUGAUGAUCAUGUAACUUCAGAUCAAGUUACUACCGAAUCUCUUAGGUAAACCAGAGUGAGAUCCGCACCAAAGUGGUACGGUAAUCCUGUUCUGGAAGUCAUGUUACUAGACCAUGAUGAACUUGCGAACUAUGAGGAAGCGAUGAUGAGCCCAGAUUCCGCGAAAUGGUUUGAGGCCAUGAAAUCUGAGAUAUGAUCCAUGUAUGAGAACAAGGUAUGGACUUUGAUGGAUUUGCCCGAUGAUCGGCAAGCCAUAGAAAUUAAAUGGAUCUUCAAGAGGAAGACGGACGCUGAUAGUAGUGUUACUAUCUACAAAGCUAGAAUUGUCUCAAAAAGGUUUUUGACAAGUUCAAGGUGUUGACUACGAUGAGAGUUUCUCACUGAUCGUAUCUAUGCUUAAGUCUGUUCGAAUCAUGUUAGCAAUUGCCGCAUUUUAUGAAAUCUGGCAAAUGGAGAAACAAAACUGCAUUCCUUAAUGGAUUUAUUAAAGAAGAGUUGUAUAUGAUGCAACCAGAAGGUUUUGUCAAUCCUAAAGGUACUAACAAUAUAUGCAAGCUCCAGCGAUCCAUCUAUGGACUGGUGCAAACAUCUCGGAAUUGGAAUAUACGCUUUGAUAAGUUGAUCAAAGCAUAUAGUUUUAUACAGACUUACGGUGAAGCCUGUAUUUACAAGAAAGUGAGUGGGAGCACUACAACAUUUCUGAUAAGUAUAUGUGAAUGACACAUUGUUGAUCGGAGAUAAUGUAGAAUUAUUCUGCAAAGCAUAAAGGAAUGUUUGAAAGGAGUUUUUCAAAUAAAGACCUCAGUGAAGCUGCUUACAUAUUGAGCAUCAAGAUCUAUAGAGAUAGAUCAAGAUGCUUGAUAAGUUUUUCAAUGAGUACAUACCUUGACAAGCUUUUGAAGUAGUUCAAAAUGGAACAGACAAAGAAGGAGUUCUUGCCUAUGUUACAAGGUGUGAAGUUGAGUAAGACUCAAAACCCGACCACGACAGAAGAUAGAGAGAGAAUGAAAGUCAUUCCCUAUGCCUUAGCCAUAGGUUCUAAAAAGUAUGUCAUGCUGUGUACCAGACCUAUUGUAUACCCUGCCCUGAGUUUGGCAAGAGAGUACAAUAGUGAUCUAGGAGUAGAUCACUGGACAUUGGUCAAAAUUAUCCUUAGUUGAAUAAGGAUAUGUUUCUCGAUUAUGGACAUGACAAAAAGGUUCGUCGUAAAGAGUUACGUCGAUGCAAAUUUUGACACUGAUCUAGAUGACUCUAAGUCUCAAUCUGGAUACAUAUUGAAAGUGGGAGCAAUUAGCUAUAGUAGCUCCAUGCAGAGCAUUGUUGACAUAGAAAUUUGCAAAAUACAUACGGAUCUGAAUAUGGCAGACCCGUUGACUAAACUUCUCUCACAGGCAAAACAUGGUCACACCUUAGUACUCUUUGGGUGUUAAUCACAUAGCGAUGUGAACUAGAUUAUUGAUUCUAGUAAACCCUUUGAGUGUUGGUCACAUAAUGAUGUGAACUAUUGGUGUUAAAUCACAUGGCAAUGUGAACUAGAUUAUUGACUCUAGUGCAAGUGGGAGACUGAAGGAAAUAUGCCCUAGAGGCAAUAAUAAAGUUAUUAUUUAUUUCCUUAUUUCAUGAUAAAUGUUUAUUAUUCAUGCUAGAAUUGUAUUAACCGGAAACAUAAUACAUGUGUGAAUACAUAGACAAACAGAGUGUCACUAGUAUGCCUCUACUUGACUAGCUCGUUAAUCAAAGAUGGUUAUGUUUCCUAACCAUAGACAAAGAGUUGUUAUUUGAUUAAAGGGAUCACAUCAUUAGGAGAAUGAUGUGAUUGACUUGACCCAUUUCGUUAGCUUAGCACUCGAUCGUUUAGUAUGUUGCUAUUGCUUUAUUCAUGACUUAUACAUGUUCCUAUGACUAUGAGAUUAUGCAACUCCCGUUUACUAGAGGAACACUUUGUGUGCUACCAAACGUCACAACGUAACUGGGUGAUUAUAAAGGAGCUCUACAGGUGUCUCCAAAGGUACAUGUUGGGUUGGCGUAUUUCGAGAUUAGGAUUUGUCACUCUGAUUGUCGGAGAGGUAUCUCUGGGCCCCUCUCGGUAAUGCACAUCACUUACGCCUUGUAAGCAUUGCAACUAAUGAGUUAGUUGCGAGAUGAUGUAUUACGGAACGAGUAAAGAGACUUGCCGGUAAUAAGAUUGAACUAGGUAUUGAGAUACCGAUGAUCGAAUCUCGGGCAAGUAACAUACCAAUGACAAAGGGAGCAACGUGUGUUGUUAUGCGGUCUGACCGAUAAAGAUCUUCGUAGAAUAUGUAGGAGCCAAUAUGAGCAUCCAGGUUCCGCUAUUGGUUAUUUACUGGAGACGUGUCUCGGUCAUGUUUACAUUGUUCUCGAACCCGUAGGGUCCGCACGCUUAAGGUUUCGAUUACAGUUAUAUUAUGAGUUUAUGAGUUUUGAUGUACCGAAGGAGUUCGGAGUCCCGGAUGCGAUUGGGGACAUGAUGAGGAGUCUCAAAAUGGUCGAGACGUAAAGAUCGAUAUAUUGGACGAUUAUAUUUGGACAUCGGAAAGGUUCGGAGUGGUUCGGGUAUUUUUCGGAGUACCGGGGAGUUACGGGAAUACGGGAGAAGAAAUAUAUGGGCCUUAUUGGGCUUUAGGGGAGAGGGAGAGGCAGGCCGCGCACCCCCCCAUUGACUAGUCCGAAUUGGACUAGGGGGAGGGGCGGCGCCCCCUCCUUCCUUCUCUUCCCUCUUCCCCUUCCUUGUCUCCUACUCCUACUACUUGGAAGGACUCCUAGUUGGACUAGGAAAGGGGGAAUCCUACUCCCGGUGGGAGUAGGACUCCCCUAGGGCGCGCCAUAGAGAGGGCUGGCCCUCCCCUCCUUCACUCCUUUAUAUACGGGGGCAGGGGGCACCCCAUAGACACACAAGUUGAUCCUCGUGAUCGUUUUCUUAGCCGUGUGCGGUGCCCCCUUCCACCAUACUCCUUGAUAAUAUUGUAGCGGUGCUUAGGCGAAGCUCUGCGACGGUAGAACAUCAAGAUCGUCACCACGCCGUCGUGCUGAUGGAACUCUUCCCCAACACUUUGCUGGAUCGGAGUCCGAGGAUCAUCAUCGAGCUGAACGUGUGCUAAAACUCGGAGGUGCCGUAGUUACGGUGCUUGAUCGGUCGGGCCGUGAAGACGUACGACUACAUCAACCGCGUUGUCAUAACGCUUCCACUUCUGGUCUACGAGGGUACGUAGACAACACUCUCCCCUCUCGUUGCUAUGCAUCACCAUGAUCUUGCGUGUGCGUAGGAAUUUUUUUGAAAUUACUACGUUCCCCAACAAGGGAUGCUAUGGGUUCGGUUAUUGCUUGGCCUCGCUCACAUGUAAGUAUGUUUUCAUUCAAGCAUUGUCUACGCUCCAAUCUGCACAUGUGUGAUAUGUUAUUUAUCCAAAAUCUUUUUGUUUUUUAGGUAAAAAUAGUUAAGCCAACUCCUCCAGCACAACCACAAAGCAUUGGUAUGAUACAUUUCUUAUAAUUUCAUCAAAGAUCUCUUAUCUUGCAGUUCUCUAUAAACAUAUGUUCAUGUAAAUGGUGUUCAUUCUCCUUUUCAGGGCAGUGAGGAUUUGAAAAGUGAGUGCAUUAAAGGAGCUAGGAGUGGCUGGGUAGUUGAGGAUUUGAAAAGGGAGUGCACUGGAGGAGUCAGGAGCAGUUGAUGAAUCUAUCUUUGAAUGAACAAAUAUUCUGGAUUAUGUACAUAUUUUAGCUUCAUAGAGAAAAAUAGUUCUUGUCUAUAGGAUAUUUUCUUAUUUAUUUUCAUCAUUGCAUGUUUCAUAUGAAUGUUUGAUAUUAUUCAGCUGUGAACUCCACGUACUUUUAGUGGAGACAUUGUUCGUGCUAAUUAAUGCAUUUGAUGUUGUUACUGAGGUUGCCAAUGUUUGCAUAUCGAAUCUAUGAAGUGGAAUGAUGCCUUCAUAUCACAAUAUUAUUUUACCAAUUUGCAUGUGCAACCAUGUCACUAAAAAUAAUUGCAUUUGAAACGAUGAAACAAAAUCGAAAUUAAUCAAAUAAUAUUUGAAGUAAAAUAUUCCAUUUGUAUAAAUAUUCUGAUGGACAUUUAGAGACGAGUAUAAGAGGCGAAUGAAACGUGUCUAUGAGUAGAGACGUAAUAUGAGCAUGCCUAACUUAACGUCUCUACAUGUAGAUACGAUUUUUGAGCAUGCCUAAGACAACGUCUCUACGUGUAGACACGAUUUUAAACGUCCCGGGAAAGCGUCUCAUUCCAUGCCAAGCGUGUCUAUCUGUUUGAGACGGUCCGUGGGGAGACGCUCCAAAGACGCUUUACUAAAAUGGCUCUAUAGUUGGCUAGAGAUGAAAUAGCACGUCGCUAGGUAUGAAAUUGGGCGUGUCUACUGGCUGUUUUUGUUGUAGUGUGUAGGUGAUUAUGUAUUGCUGUACAACUCUCAUUUAAGAUUUUUUGCAGGAAAACUUCUGUCUAAAUGGGAAGGCCCUUACGUUAUCGAGGAGGUCUAUCGUUCCGGUGCCAUAAAAAUCAACAACUUCGAAGGCACAAAUCUGAAGGUGGUGAACGGUCAAAGAAUCAAACAUUAUAUCUCAGGUAAUCCCAUAAAUGUUGAAACCAAUAUUAUUGAAACUGUAACCCCGGAGGAAUACAUAAGGGACACUUUCCGGAACGUUUCAGACUCCGAAAAGGAAUAGGUAUGUGAUACUAUAAGUAAACCGACUCCAAAACAGUUUUUAAGGCAACAUUUCCCCAUUUUAGAAUAUUUAGAAAAAUAGAAAAAUAAGUAGCACUUCAGGAAGGGCACGAGGGCUCCACGAGGGUGGAAGGCGCGCCCUACCCUACUGGGCGCUCCCCCUACCUCGUGGGCACCUCGUGUGCUCUCCGGACUCCGUUUUCGUGCACGCCACAUAUUUUGGUCGGUAAAAAUUCAUUAUAUAAUCUCCCAAAGGUUUUGACUCCCGUAUCACGCAAAAAUCUCCUUUCUUUGUUUCGAGCUAUCCUGCUGCAGAUUUGAGCAACAUGUCGUCCCAGGAUUCGGAAGGAGAGAACUAUGUGGCUGAUUACCUUGCAGAUCCUAAAGUCUAUGAGGAUGUAGAGCAUUGUGGUUGGACUACGGAAGAAGAAGAGGACUAUGAACCUAAGGGAAAGGAGGAGACGAGCUCAGAUGAAGAUGAAAUCCCACUACCUCAACUUGGGGACAUGCAUGUGGAGUUCAAAAAGUCAAGCCUCCCUAAUAGAGUGAAGAAACCUAAGAUCGAGUUUAUCCCUUUUCGCCUCUUGCAGGAAAACAAACAGGAACUAUGCAAAAAGAUACUGAGCCUGGAGCAGGAGAUCGAGGACCUAAGGGACCAAAAUUUUGUCCUCAAGCGUAAAUUAAGGAAGAAGCCUACGCCACCAACAAAAUCACCAUCGUCUCCACCAACAAAAAGACUUGAAUAUCUAGUAUGGGCACCCCCCUUGGCAACUCCCAAGCUUGGGGGAGUGCCCCGGUAUCGUAUCACCAUCACUUUUAUCUUUACCAUUUUUCUUAGUCCGAUCCUUUUGGUAAUAUCUUGAUCUAGUAGAAUAAAAGUUCUUAGUAUGAUCUAUUUGUGAGUUUUGCUUUAUGAUUCCUCUAUGUAAUCGAGUCCGUGAGCUAUAUAAUAAAGAUUAGUGUUGAGUCAAGGGCUUGAUUAUUUUUCCAUGAUCUUAAGUGAAUAAAAGAAAAGAGAAAGAAAUAAAAAGAAACAAAGAGAUCAUAUGGAUCUUAUGGAGAGUAAUGAGCUCACAUAGAAAAAGUAUGAUGAAUAAAAGUUGUUGAGGGUUGACAAACAUAGUUUUGGUCAUCGUUGAAAUUAAUAGGAAGUAAUAAAGAAAGAGAGGUCUUCACAUAUAGAUAU
rnacentral:lncRNA from 1 species